ACUGGAGGGCAAGUCUGGUGCCAGCAGCCGCGGUAACUCCAGCUUCAGAAGCGUAUAUUAAAGUUGUUGCAGUUAAAAAGCUCGUAGUUGGAUCUGGGUCGCUUGGCUACAUGCCGGUUUCACACUCCUAGACUUGGUUUCGAUCAGUCUUCUAGUGUGGCCGGUUUAGUGGCUGUGCAGCCUUUCUGCCGUGUCUGUUUAUACGGGUGCUGGCAUGGUUGGUUCGCUGACCUGUUAGCAUGCUCCUGAUGCCUUUAACAGGGUGUCGGGAGCGGACGGCAUUUUUACUUUGAACAAAUUUGAGUGCUCAAAGCAGGCCCAUGUGCCUGAAAAUUCUUGCAUGGAAUAAUGAAAUAGGACUUCGGUUCUAUUUUGUUGGUUUUCGGAUCCGAAGUAAUGGUUAAGAGGGACAGACGGGGGCAUUUGUAUGGCGGCGUUAGAGGUGAAAUUCUUGGAUCGUCGCCAGACAAACUACAGCGAAAGCAUUUGCCAAGGAUGUUUUCAUUGAUCUGGAGCGAAAGUCAGAGGUUCGAAGACGAUCAGAUACCGUCCUAGUUCUGACCAUAAACGAUGCCAACUGACGAUCCGUAGCGGUCUAAUCAUUGGCCCUGCGGGCAGUCCCCGGGAAACCCUUAAGUCUUUGGGCUCCGGGGGAAGUAUGGUUGCAAAGCUG
rnacentral:rRNA from 1 species